rnacentral:rRNA from 1 species
AACGAACGCUGGCGGCAUGCUUAACACAUGCAAGUCGAACGCCCCGCUAGGGGAGUGGCAGACGGGUGAGUAACGCGUGGGAAUCUACCGUGCCCUACGGAACAACACUUGGAAACGACUGCUAAUACCGUAUACGCCCUACGGUGGCAAGCUUUAUCGUGGUAUGAUGAGCCCGCGUUGGGUUAGCUAGUUGGUGGGGGAAAGGCCUACCAAGGCGACGAUCCAUAGCUGGUCUGAGAGGAUGAUCAGCCACAUUGGGGCUGAGACACGGCCCAAACUCCGACGGGAGGCAGCAGUGGGGAAUAUCGGACAAUGGGGGCAAGCCUGAACCAGCCAUGCCGCGUGAGAGAUGAAGGUCUUAGGAGUGGAAAGCUCUUUAACCGACGAAGAUAAUGACGGUAGUCGGAGAAGAAGCCCCGGCUAACUUCGUGCCAGCCGCCGCAGUAA